AGUGAACGCUGGCGGUAGGCCUAACACAUGCAAGUCGAACGGCAGCACAGUAAGAGCUUGCUCUUACGGGUGGCGAGUGGCGGACGGGUGAGGAAUACAUCGGAAUCUACUUUUUCGUGGGGGAUAACGUAGGGAAACUUACGCUAAUACCGCAUACGACCUACGGGUGAAAGCAGUGGAUCUUCGGACCUUGCGCGAUUGAAUGAGCCGAUGUCGGAUUAGCUAGUUGGCGGGGUAAAGGCCCACCAAGGCGACGAUCCGUAGCUGGUCUGAGAGGAUGAUCAGCCACAUUGGAACUGAGACACGGUCCAGACUCCUACGGGAGGCAGCAGUGGGGAAUAUUGGACAAUGGGCGCAAGCCUGAUCCAGCCAUACCGCGUGGGUGAAGAAGGCCUUCGGGUUGUAAAGCCCUUUUGUUGGGAAAGAAAAGCAGCAGGUUAAUACCCCGCUGUUCUGACGGUACCCAAAGAAUAAGCACCGGCUAACUUCGUG
rnacentral:rRNA from 1 species